UGCCAAGUGAUGUCAGAAACCAGGGUUAGGCCUUGAAGGCUAGCAUGCAAGUGCUGUUGGCUAGCUCGCAAGGACAGCAACCUGCCUCCACCAACAGAAAGCAGCCCCGCACAUGCGUUCACGCACGGUGUCUUGUUGUGUGCCUAAGAAUGAACAGACAUACUCAGUCAUGGCAUGUGUAGAGAAUGUGUGUGUCACUCUGCAGUUGGCCUGUGCUGAAGAACCUGCAGCCUGGACUCAGCUGUCCUGAGAGCUGACGGAACCCCACUGCUGAGUGGUCCUGGGAACCCCAUCUCCUGCCCUGUGCACUCAAGCUGGGAGACUGAGGCUUAAGCUUCUGGCCGUGCUGGGAGGUGAGAAGGCUCUGACCCAGGGUGAACUCCAGAGAAUGCACCUUCUCUGUGUAAGCACUGGGUACACAAUGCAUAGGAAUUAUCAAGAUGUGUUUAUGUGUGUGCAUAUAUUUUUAGGAGUUUUAAAAAUAUGACAAUAUCAAUUCAUUAAACUUGGAUGACUGCACCAUUGGAAAAAUCCUGUAGUAUAACAAGUUAUUAGAAGC
rnacentral:lncRNA from 13 species